rnacentral:rRNA from 1 species
AAGUAUCUUCGGAUAUGAGUAGAGCGGCGGACGGGUGAGUAACGCGUAGGAAUCUACCUAGUAGAAGGGGAUAGCCCGAGGAAACUCGGAUUAAUACCGUAUACCUCCUUCGGGAGAAAGAAGGCCUCUCUUUGAAGCUUUCGCUACUAGAUGAGCCUGCGUAAGAUUAGCUUGUUGGUGAGGUAAAGGCUCACCAAGGCUACGAUCUUUAGCGGGUCUGAGAGGACGAUCCGCCACAUUGGGACUGAGACACGGCCCAGACUCCUACGGGAGGCAGCAGUGGGGAAUAUUGGACAAUGGGCGAAAGCCUGAUCCAGCCAUACCGCGUGUGUGAAGAAGGCCCUAGGGUUGUAAAGCACUUUAAGUUGGGAAGAAAAGUUAUUGGUUAAUACCCAAUGACCUUGACAUUACCAUCAGAAUAAGGACCGGCUAAUUCCGUGCCAGCAGCCGCGGUAAUACGGAAGGUCCAAGCGUUAAUCGGAAUUACUGGGCGUAAAGCGCGCGUAGGUGGUUUAUUAAGUUGGGUGUGAAAUCCCCGGGCUCAACCUGGGAACUGCAUCCAAAACUGAUUCACUAGAGUACGAUAGAGGGAGGUAGAAUUCACAGUGUAGCGGUGGAAUGCGUAGAUAUUGUGAAGA